UAAAGCAGAUGCAGGCCUUUCUAAAGAGCGCACAGAGUAAUAUAUGCAAUGAGGUUAGUAGAUUAACUUUACUGAAAGAUGCUGGACUGCUAGUUCAUCUGAUGGACGGUUCCAGCCGUCACCUCUUUACCAACCUGGACCUGCUCCUAAACAGAGAUCUGUCUGGGAAAGAGAUCUUCUGCCUUAUUAUGUGGGAAAAAGAUGUUUUUUCUUCAGAAUGACAUCUCCACGACUCUACAGAACAUCCUGCACUAUGAUGAGAAACAUGGACAUGGAGAGAGAGAGUGAAGCAAGACUUCAAGUGGUUCCCAGAUCUUUUUUUCCAGGAGACCCCUAGUCUUCACACUUCACUAGGGGAGAAGGAAACAGGAGAGUACAGAAGAUGGCAUUGCUGCCCCGGAGAACCAGCUCCUUCAGAAAUGAGUGUUUUGCUUUACAGUGAUGUAAACACAAAGGAAAUUACCAAUGGUUUGUUCAAAAGACUUCCCUCGGGAGAGGUAAACCCAGAUCAACAAUUAACACUUCACUACAAAUGCAGACAUGUAUGUGAUUAAAUGUAGCUGCUUUCAUUGUGUGAGUAUUCAAACAGAGAAUGAGGGAUUUUGUUUUCAUCAGAUGAAAGUUUGGUCUUCUUCAGAUUGUUUUACAGUGAGCAGUAUGUACCUGGUCUGCUGUGCUGGAAGGGUGUGUUAUCAGAGCGACAGGUGAGGGAAUGGCUGGAUGAGAUCCGGGAACCCUGCCAAAAUCCAGAUCCUACACACGUCACCGGUUUUCCUCUGAAGGGGACUUUUUAGUUGUCAAUAGCUUGAGGUCAGAGGUCAGUAAAAGUAAGCUAUGGAGAAUGUUCUCUGAACAUUGUGCUAUUUAUAUCUUCAAGCAUUCAAAUCUGAUUUUUCAAAUAUGUUUGUUUUUUUCACACCUGUCUACAACAAACUGUUGGUGAUCCGAUCAAAGUGAAAAUGCAGUUGAAUUGGAAACAAUUACCCAUGUAAAGACAUGUCAGAAUGUUUUUUAUUUUUUUAUUAAAUGGAACAAUUUAUUAAAAAUGUACUAACAUAAAGCAU